UAGAGUUUGAUCCUGGCUCAGGACGAACGCUGGCGGCGUGCUUAACACAUGCAAGUCGAACGAGGAUCGGAAGGGAGCUUGCUCCCGUCCGAUUCGAGUGGCGGACGGGUGAGUAACGCGUGAACAAUCUGUCUCAUACAGGGGGAUAACGCAUCGAAAGAUGUGCUAAUACCGCGUAGGACCACGCUGGGGCAUCCCAGAGAGGUGAAAGGAGCAAUCCGGUAUGAGGUGAGUUCGCGUCUGAUUAGAUAGUUGGUGAGGUAAAGGCUCACCAAGUCAACGAUCAGUAGCCGACCUGAGAGGGUGACCGGCCACAUUGGGACUGAGACACGGCCCAGACUCCUACGGGAGGCAGCAGUGGGGAAUAUUGGGCAAUGGGCGAAAGCCUGACCCAGCAACGCCGCGUGAAGGAAGAAGGUUUUCGGAUCGUAAACUUCUGUCCUAUAUGAAGAUAAUGACGGUAGUAUAGGAGGAAGCCCCGGCUAACUACGUGCCAGCAGCCGCGGUAAUACGUAGGGGGCGAGCGUUGUCCGGAAUGAUUGGGCGUAAAGGGCGCGUAGGCGGCCGGAUAAGUCUGGAGUGAAAGUCCUGUUUUCAAGAUGGGAAUUGCUUUGGAUACUGUCGGGCUUGAGUGCAGGAGAGGAAAGCGGAAUUACCGGUGUAGCGGUGAAAUGCGUAGAGAUCGGUAGGAACACCAGUGGCGAAGGCGGCUUUCUGGACUGAAACUGACGCUGAGGCGCGAAAGUGUGGGGAGCAAACAGGAUUAGAUACCCUGGUAGUCCACGCGGUAAACGAUGAAUGCUAGGUGUAGGAGGUAUCGACCCCUUCUGUGCCGGAGUAAACACAAUAA
rnacentral:rRNA from 1 species